GUUGCCAUUUUUUUAUCUUCGUAAUCGAUUCAUACCGCUAUCGUUUUGGAAGUGUACGACGCUUCAUUUUACGAAAAUUUGCAGGACAGUUGAAAGCUUACCGUACCGCGGAGAAAAAAACCUAUUAAAAUUGAAAUUUUUUUUAAAAAAAACGUGUUUUUCUCAGAUUUAAUAAUAAAAAUAGACGAUACUGCUGAUGGACGUGUCACCAUAGUAGAUAGGAACUUCGAUUAGUG